AGUUUGAAGCAGGCUGGAAUCUGAAGCAGGCUGAAGGAAUGAAGACUGAAGACUUGAACAAUGAAAGGUACAACAGGGGAUCCACUUGGAGACAGGAACACGGGAACCAGGAGCACUAGUACACCGAGUGUGACUUGUCCAAGGCGAUGAGACUGAGCCAGGAACUGGAGUUUAUACCCCGUGGUCUGUGAUGAUUGGAUGUUGCAUCUCUGUGAGAACACACCCCGCUGGCCUGGAUUGGGUGUUCAGAUCAGCUGUGAGUUAGCUGAAGCUAAUGAUUCAUCAGGAGAGUAAUUCUGCAAUGCACUGCUGAUUGCUGGCUGGGCUCAGUAGUGCACCGGGAGUAAAUACUGUUAACUAGAAGCACUGUGUACUCCAGGCUGCAGGAGACUGAAGACUGGAACUGGAACUGAACUGAACUGGACUGGAACGGAACUGCUGGGACCUGUAGUUCCACAGGUUCAAUUCACAGGGGAUACUCUGAAGACAGAGGACUGAAGCCAGGAGACGCCUGUUCACAGGCAGAGCACAAAGGAGGAUUGGGAGGCCACAACCCACACAUCAGACCAGUCCCUCCCCCCAUCAAAUUCCAUCCCCCACUCAAGCUCCCUCCCCCCAUCAAAUUCCCUCACCCCCUCAAGCUCCCUCUCCCCCUCAAACUUCAACCGCCUCUCAACCUCCCUCUACCCUUCAAACUUCAACCCCCUCUCAACCUCCCUCUCCCCUCAAACUUCAACCCCCUCUUAAACCUCUCUCUCCUCCUCAACCUCCAUCCGCCACUCAAACUACAUCCACCCAUGACUUGCCCUCCCCCUCUCAAUCUGAACCUCCUUCCCCCAUACAAUCUCUGUCUGCCUUUCAAGCCCCUCCCCCAUCCAACCUCCAUCCCUCUUUCAAGACCCUUCCCACAUCCAACCUCUAUUCCCCUCUAAAGAACAAAUGCAGUCAACCACCAAUGGAAGAAGAGGAGGAUGAGUGGGCGGCUAUGGUAGAAAAGACCCUGAAGUUUGGGAUUGAAACUGGGCCGUCCGAAGAGAGCUACUGGCCAUGCAGGCACACAUUCUCACCCUGCUGGACGAUGUCUAAAAUUUGUUAAAUUUAUUUGAUUUUGUUAAAUAUCAUUAU